rnacentral:lncRNA from 1 species
CCCGUUCUAAUUGCUGUGCUAGCUUUCCUUGGAGUGAAUUUUGAUUGCUCAAACAUGAACGAAAUUAGGGCAAUACUGAAAAUGGGUGUUCAUCCCGAUCGCAUUAUUUACGCCCACACUAUGAAAAGCACAUCUCACAUGAAGUUCGCUGAGGAAAAGGGUGUCACACUGAUGACUUUUGAUUGCAUCGAGGAAAUGCACAAGGUGAAAGACAUGAAGGCCAGAUUGCUUCUUCGAAUAAAAACCGACGACAAUGGUUGCAAAAUAUCGUU